AUUACUCGGCGUUGCAGAGAAAUAAAUGCGACGGCAUCCCGCCCGCUGAGUGGCAGCGGCUCUAUAAGUCAAAUCCCGGAUGCGAUGGAGGAAC
rnacentral:ncRNA from 1 species